GGGGGCGUAGCUCAGUUGGCUAGAGCGCUGCCCUUACAAGGCAGAAGUCCGCGGUUCGAGACCGUGCGCCCCCA
rnacentral:tRNA from 1 species